ensembl:lncRNA
AUGGUAAAAAAAACACCUGCUUUGAGGGAAACAGAUUUUCAGCGGAGUUGGGUCUUCCUCUCUGGGCACAGUAAAAGACACGCAGAUCAAAGCUCACGACCACGAUGUGAACACAGUGGCGUUUGCCGACAGCUCGUCCCAGCUGCUGUUCUCAGGCAGCGACGACGCGCUCUGCAAGGUGUGGGACAGACUGACGCUGCGGGAGGACAGACCCAAGCCCGUGGGCCAGCUGUCUGGACACAGAGACUGUAUCACCUUCAUCCACAGCAAGGUAAUAGAGGAGAACCACUACCGUGUGUAUGCGUCCAGCAUGUGCAAUCACUCUCUUACAUUCUCUUACUGUGUUGGGUAGUCAUCGAUAUCAAAGCCUAAACACAUACAUGGGACAAUGUACUGUUUAUACAUAAAUACACUGUUCUGAUAUAACUGGACAGGUGAAAGCUAUGCAGGGCCGUUUCACCAAUCAGCAAGCGCUGCGAUAGUGAGGAAGGAUGCAUUUUGUAGUAUUUGGACAGGGUCUAAAACUCUAACCACUUCAUCCUGAUACUGUGCACAUUAAGGUAUAAACCUUCUCUGUGUGCCUGUUGACUCCUCAUCCCUGUCAGGAAGAUACAGGUUCAUUAUAAACCUCCUCUGUGUGUCUGUUGACUCCUCAUCCCUGUCAGGAAGAUACAGGUUCAUUAUAAACUUCCUCUCUUCAGCUUGCAGGGCGACGCACGUUAUCUGAUCAGUAACUCAAAAGGACCAGUCCAUCAAACUGUGGGACAUGAGGAAGUGGUGGCCUCGCGGCUGAACAUCGUCCAACAGGACUGGGAGUACCGUUGGCAGCACGUUGCCCAGAAUGGUGCUGGGGAGGCCAUGAGGUUGUUGUACAUCUGUACUGGGUCCUAGUCGAGAUCACAUUUAGAUUAGCAAGUGGGCCAGAAACACAGUCCAAUCCGACUGUAAUCUACUCUAGAUUGCUCUCAGAAAAUCUCAUAUUUGCUAUAUUAAGUAUUGAUGACAUACAGUAUGUUUAAUCAUUAAUCUCCUACUACCCCUCGCAUUUGUUGUUCAGCUGUACUUGAGGCAGCUGUACUUGACUGUACAAUAGCUGGUUGUGUCGACUGACCUGUCGUCUGCCUGCUGUCUGUUUGUCCGUCUGUCCUCCCAGCCCAGGAGAGACACUAGCUGGCAGGCGACACCUCAGUGAUGACCUACAGGGGUCACGGUGUUCUGCACACACACUCAUACGCUGUCGGAGUUCACCGCCGGACAGAAGGGGGUGGAAACAAGCGAGGAAAAGGAAGUGAUGUCAUAAGUGUGGGACAGCCUGACGGUGUCAGUCAGUGACUUCACUAUGGGGAGAGGCAGGACCGCAACAGAGGGAGGAGAACAAGCUCAGAGUGAACUGUGAAAUUGCAUUGAUUCAAUGCUAGAUAACAAUACAUAUAAUGUAAAUUCUUACCUCUGUGUGUUUGGUGCAGAAGCCACUAUUACCCCCUGUAUUCACCAAUCUGCAGAGAAGGGAUACAGUUGAGGCAUUGUCUUCUUUCAGGGGCCUUACUCCUACUCCUAGCCACGCUACCUUGUGUUAUAAAACAAUGACAUUUAAGGAGAGUUGUCUCUUCUGAUGCACCCCAGUGUACAGUAAGAAUAGGAUGAAGGAGACGAAAGCCUCUAUGAAGUUUGGCCGGAGCCGUUUAUGCAGAACUUAUUGAAGCUCACUAAGCACUUGCUCCAAGAGCCCCCAACAAGCCUCAUGCCCACAUUGUGUUUGGUUGCUUAGAGUAAAAAGCAGCCCCCAAAUAAUGCAUGUGUAGACUAAAAUAAUGUCAUAAAUCACAGAAUGAUGAUAAUUCAGUAUAAGGUAUGUUGUAAUGGAAUUAAUGUCCAGAGGUAAGAAGACAGUGUACAAAACAUUAGGAACACCUGCGCUUUCCAUGAGACUGACCAGGUGAAUCCAGGUUAAAGCUAUGAUCCCUUAUUGAUGUCACUUGUUAAAUCCAAUUCAAUCCGUGUAGAUGAAGGGGAGGAGACAGGUUAAAUAAAGAUUUAAAAUAAAUAAUAAUAAUUAAAGCCUUGAGACCAUCGCGACAUGGAUUGUGUAUGUGUUCUGGGCUUUAAGACACAGUAAAGGGUUUGGGUGUGUGAGUGUGCUUGGAACAUCAACCUUGAUAAAAUCUCUACAAAUUGUUUUACAAUAAAACCCAGGAAAUACAGUCAUCAGAAAUCCAACGAAGGGAAUUGGCAGAAAUCUGCAAAAGUUAUGAUUGCUCAACAUUGAUUGUGACGACCUGUCGAACCUCUGCAGUAAUGGGCUUUACAGAUGGGUUUUCUAUAAAAGU